rnacentral:rRNA from 1 species
GGGGAAUAUUGGACAAUGGACGAAAGUCUGAUCCAGCGACGCCGCGUGGAGGAAGAAGUCCUUCGGGAUGUAAACUCAUGAAGCUAACGAAUAAGACGGAAGGGGAACCUUCCGGGAGGAGGUAAUUAGUGAAAAGCCCCGGCUAACUACGUGCCAGCAGCCGCGGUAAUACGUAGGGGGCGAGCGUUGCCCGGAAUUACUGGGCGUAAAGGGAACGUAGGUGGCUCUUAAAGUCAGGUGUGAAAAUAACGAAGCUUAACAGGUUAAUGCGCUUGAAACUAAAGGGCUUGAGGGCAAUAGAGGGAGAUGGAAUUACCUGUGUAGGGGUGAAAUCCGCAGAUAUAGGUAAGAAGGCCGGUGGGGAAGCCGAUCUCCUGGGUUGACUCUGACACUGAGGUUCGAAAGCUAGGGGAGCAAACC